rnacentral:rRNA from 1 species
GACGUAGGGCGCAAGCGUUGUCCGGAAUUAUUGGGCGUAAAGAGCUCGUAGGCGGCCUGUUGCGUCCGCUGUGAAAUCCCGGGGCUCAACCCCGGGCCUGCAGUGGAUACGGGCUGGCUAGAGGCAGGCAGGGGAGAACGGAAUUCCUGGUGUAGCGGUGAAAUGCGCAGAUAUCAGGAGGAACACCGGUGGCGAAGGCGGUUCUCUGGGCCUGUACUGACGCUGAUGCGCGAAAGCGUGGGGAGCAAACGGG